GUGCCAGCCGCCGCGGUAAUACGGAGGGGGCGAGCGUUGUUCGGAAUCACUGGGUGUAAAGGGUGCGUAGGCGGUCCGAUAAGUCUGAUGUGAAAGCCCUGGGCUCAACUCAGGAACUGCAUUGGAAACUGACGGGCUAGAGUACCGGAGAGGGAAGCGGAAUUCCUGGUGUAGCGGUGAAAUGCGUAGAUACCAGGAGGAACACCGGUGGCGAAGGCGGUUUCCUGGCCGAGUACUGACGCUGAUGCACGAAAGCGUGGGGAGCGAACGGGAUUAGAAACCCUUGUAGUCC
rnacentral:rRNA from 1 species